UUAAGCGACUAAGCGUACACGGUGGAUGCCCUGGCAGUCAGAGGCGAUGAAGGACGUGCUAAUCUGCGAUAAGCGUCGGUGAGGUGAUAUGAACCGUUAUAACCGGCGAUUUCCGAAUGGGGAAACCCAGUGUGUUUCGACACACUAUCAUUAACUGAAUCCAUAGGUUAAUGAGGCGAACCGGGGGAACUGAAACAUCUAAGUACCCCGAGGAAAAGAAAUCAACCGAGAUUCCCCCAGUAGCGGCGAGCGAACGGGGAGGAGCCCAGAGCCUGAAUCAGUGUGUGUGUUAGUGGAAGCGUCUGGAAAGGCGCGCGAUACAGGGUGACAGCCCCGUACACAAAAAUGCACAUAUUGUGAGCUCGAUGAGUAGGGCGGGACACGUGGUAUCCUGUCUGAAUAUGGGGGGACCAUCCUCCAAGGCUAAAUACUCCUGACUGACCGAUAGUGAACCAGUACCGUGAGGGAAAGGCGAAAAGAACCCCGGCGAGGGGAGUGAAAAAGAACCUGAAACCGUGUACGUACAAGCAGUGGGAGCCUCUUAAUGGGGUGACUGCGUACCUUUUGUAUAAUGGGUCAGCGACUUAUAUUCUGUAGCAAGGUUAACCGAAUAGGGGAGCCGAAGGGAAACCGAGUCUUAACUGGGCGUUAAGUUGCAGGGUAUAGACCCGAAACCCGGUGAUCUAGCCAUGGGCAGGUUGAAGGUUGGGUAACACUAACUGGAGGACCGAACCGACUAAUGUUGAAAAAUUAGCGGAUGACUUGUGGCUGGGGGUGAAAGGCCAAUCAAACCGGGAGAUAGCUGGUUCUCCCCGAAAGCUAUUUAGGUAGCGCCUCGUGAAUUCAUCUCCGGGGGUAGAGCACUGUUUCGGCAAGGGGGUCAUCCCGACUUACCAACCCGAUGCAAACUGCGAAUACCGGAGAAUGUUAUCACGGGAGACACACGGCGGGUGCUAACGUCCGUCGUGAAGAGGGAAACAACCCAGACCGCCAGCUAAGGUCCCAAAGUCAUGGUUAAGUGGGAAACGAUGUGGGAAGGCCCAGACAGCCAGGAUGUUGGCUUAGAAGCAGCCAUCAUUUAAAGAAAGCGUAAUAGCUCACUGGUCGAGUCGGCCUGCGCGGAAGAUGUAACGGGGCUAAACCAUGCACCGAAGCUGCGGCAGCGACGCUUAUGCGUUGUUGGGUAGGGGAGCGUUCUGUAAGCCUGUGAAGGUGGCCUGUGAGGGUUGCUGGAGGUAUCAGAAGUGCGAAUGCUGACAUAAGUAACGAUAAAGCGGGUGAAAAGCCCGCUCGCCGGAAGACCAAGGGUUCCUGUCCAACGUUAAUCGGGGCAGGGUGAGUCGACUCCUAAGGCGAGGCCGAAAGGCGUAGUCGAUGGGAAACAGGUUAAUAUUCCUGUACUUGGUGUUACUGCGAAGGGGGGACGGAGAAGGCUAUGUUGGCCGGGCGACGGUUGUCCCGGUUUAAGCGUGUAGGCUGGUUUUCCAGGCAAAUCCGGAAAACCAAGGCUGAGGCGUGAUGACGAGGCACUACGGUGCUGAAGUGACAAAUGCCCUGCUUCCAGGAAAAGCCUCUAAGCAUCAGGUAACAUCAAAUCGUACCCCAAACCGACACAGGUGGUCAGGUAGAGAAUACCAAGGCGCUUGAGAGAACUCGGGUGAAGGAACUAGGCAAAAUGGUGCCGUAACUUCGGGAGAAGGCACGCUGAUAUGUAGGUGAAGCGACUUGCUCGUGGAGCUGAAAUCAGUCGAAGAUACCAGCUGGCUGCAACUGUUUAUUAAAAACACAGCACUGUGCAAACACGAAAGUGGACGUAUACGGUGUGACGCCUGCCCGGUGCCGGAAGGUUAAUUGAUGGGGUUAGCGGUAACGCGAAGCUCUUGAUCGAAGCCCCGGUAAACGGCGGCCGUAACUAUAACGGUCCUAAGGUAGCGAAAUUCCUUGUCGGGUAAGUUCCGACCUGCACGAAUGGCGUAAUGAUGGCCAGGCUGUCUCCACCCGAGACUCAGUGAAAUUGAACUCGCUGUGAAGAUGCAGUGUACCCGCGGCAAGACGGAAAGACCCCGUGAACCUUUACUAUAGCUUGACACUGAACAUUGAGCCUUGAUGUGUAGGAUAGGUGGGAGGCUUUGAAGUGUGGACGCCAGUCUGCAUGGAGCCGACCUUGAAAUACCACCCUUUAAUGUUUGAUGUUCUAACGUUGGCCCCUGAUCGGGGUUGCGGACAGUGUCUGGUGGGUAGUUUGACUGGGGCGGUCUCCUCCUAAAGAGUAACGGAGGAGCACGAAGGUUGGCUAAUCCUGGUCGGACAUCAGGAGGUUAGUGCAAUGGCAUAAGCCAGCUUGACUGCGAGCGUGACGGCGCGAGCAGGUGCGAAAGCAGGUCAUAGUGAUCCGGUGGUUCUGAAUGGAAGGGCCAUCGCUCAACGGAUAAAAGGUACUCCGGGGAUAACAGGCUGAUACCGCCCAAGAGUUCAUAUCGACGGCGGUGUUUGGCACCUCGAUGUCGGCUCAUCACAUCCUGGGGCUGAAGUAGGUCCCAAGGGUAUGGCUGUUCGCCAUUUAAAGUGGUACGCGAGCUGGGUUUAGAACGUCGUGAGACAGUUCGGUCCCUAUCUGCCGUGGGCGCUGGAGAACUGAGGGGGGCUGCUCCUAGUACGAGAGGACCGGAGUGGACGCAUCACUGGUGUUCGGGUUGUCAUGCCAAUGGCACUGCCCGGUAGCUAAAUGCGGAAGAGAUAAGUGCUGAAAGCAUCUAAGCACGAAACUUGCCCCGAGAUGAGUUCUCCCUGAGACUUAGAGUCUCCUGAAGGAACGUUGAAGACGACGACGUUGAUAGGCCGGGUGUGUAAGCGCAGCGAUGCGUUGAGCUAACCGGUACUAAUGAACCGUGAGGCUUAACCUU
rnacentral:rRNA from 1 species